AGACCUGAGUGGGCCACAGGAUGUAGAUCACAGGGAGGUGAAAUAAGCCAAUAACACAGGCAUCUUAACCAUUUUAGGAGAGUGAAAACCAUUUAACCCCCAAUGUAAUGGCUGUGGUGCCUGUCCAAGGAAGAAAUAAAUUGGUUUUAACUUACGCAGCUUGGGCUUCGGAGAGAAAUAAAAAGGCAAAAUAGAAAAGGCAGAAUUGUUGAGCAUCUCUGGGAUCUUCCUUUAGCUGUUUGUGACUGCAGAAACAAGAAGCAUCGGCGUGGAGUAAAUCUAAUCACAUUUAGACACAGCCCUGUAGUCAAUAGAGAGAAGGAAGAUAUUAUAGGACUCUAAUCUUCUUGGAGAUGGAAACAGGGAAGAAAAACCCAGGACAGGAUUAUGAAGUUAGCUGACCUGCUGUUAAACACAGAGGAGUCACGGAGGGAGAUGAUGAGCAGUACCCUUCUGUCACCAGAAGAUCCCGCAGGAAGCUGCAAGGCUGAAGCAUUUUUGGGUGGACUGAACUUCCACUCAUUGUGGUACUGAAUUCUUUACUAUGGAGAUGUAGAAGAGAUAGUUUCUGGAGUGAUGAGGGAUUUGGUGAAGCUGUUUGCUCUCUGAAACAAGACAGUAAAGGCUGAACAACUAAAAUGGAUCAUUUCAGAACUCUGGCCAAUAUCCAAAGCCACUGAAAGAACUGAAAACCACCCAAGAUAAGCUGCCAAGCCCCGAUGAAGCAGUGGGACCUGUGAAGUGUCGUUUUAUUUAUUUGGCUGGGACGAGUCUUAGUUGCAGGACGCAGGAUCAUCAAUCUUCCUAUACGUUCUUUAGUUGUGGCAUGAGAACUCUCAUUUGCAUCACGUGGGAUCUUAGUUCCUUGAUCAGGCAUCGAACCCAGGUCCCCUGUUUUGGGAGUAUGGAGUCUUAGCCACUGGACCACCGGGGACAUGCCUGUGAAGUUUUAAUUUGGAGCUAUUUCCAUUUCCUUCUUUCCCCAGUUCAGUGGUGUAGAAACCAAAAUCCAGCUGCACCAUAAAGGAUAGAGAGAUGUGAAUUCUUUUUGGUCUCUGUUAAAAGCACAGUCCCCUAGAGCACUGCCAAUUUGUUGUCCCAACUUGGAGCUCCCUCAAACAUCAGAGUAUGUCAGCUAUUUCACUUGAUUCAGAGCUUGGGUGGGGUAAAGGGGGCUUACCCCAGGGCAUCAGUGAGGCAGUGGAAAAUAAAACUGACAGCAUUUAAAUUAUCUGAGGUAGU
rnacentral:lncRNA from 1 species